GACUUUGCUUUACCUUAUGACACAAGCAACCACCCCCACACCCACUCUAUGCCCAGCCACACCUCCCCACCUUACCUAGGUCACUUCAAUGUCCUUUCUACUCAAUCUUCAGCCUCUCCCACGUCCUUAGAGCUGGAACAUCCAACCUCUCUCCUCACUUCACUCAUUUUCUCUCAUUUUACCAAGGAUCAAACUCAACUUUUCACUCAACCUUUCUCCCUCAAUUUCGGAUAUCAAGGCUGAUCAUAAAGCUUCCUUACACUCUUGGUAAGUAUAAUUCAUCCUCUUAGUGAUAAUUAUCCUUCAUUCUACUCCAAUCAUAGAUUGCUUACACAAAUUCCAUCACUUUGGUGUUAGAUUCUCGAAAAUCUUCUAGGCAUCUUCAAGUGUUCUUGAGUUGAACACUUCUCAUCUCCAACAGUCAUCUACUAAAACCUUUUAAGGUGAGUUCAUACCCCUAUCUUUUCAAGACUAUACAAGGUGCAAGUAUUUAAAUUCCUUAGCUUUAAAAUGGCUACUUGCACAUCUCCAUACGACUUUUCUACGAUUUAUGGCAAUUUUUACAAAACUGCCUAUCAUUUCAAACAUCAAUCCGGACCAGUCUGUGAUUAUGGACUUUUUCACACUAGUUAGAGGUCACUAAAAAUCAUUAAAAAAAUUAUAGAGAAACUAGACUCAUUUUCCAAACUCUCAGAAUUUACGGAUUCUGAUUUGGACCUUUGAUGAUUGUUCUACAAAUUUCCUAAGAACGGUGAUAGAAAAUGUUAUCAACAGAAAAAUGCUAUCAAUUUCAUUUCACCUUGUAACAUGUUGAGCAAGGUGUAUAUCUUUAUGUGAUUAUAUGUUAUUGUAAUAUAUGACAUUAUUGUCUUGGUAUAUAGACAUACAUCAGUUAAAAAAUAGAUUUUGCUAGAUAAAGCAUAGAAAUAACAAUUUGUUAUAAUCAAAGUACAUCUAUUACAUACAAACAUUUGAAUAGACUAUGUUAAGUAUAGUUUACGUACAUUACCACUAUUACCCUUGUCUUGAUAAACUAUAAUAGGUAUAGUUUAUGAUACAUCACAUAACACACUCAUAUAAAAAGGGUACAUUUAUACAAAAAGGGAUUUUCAUUACAUUACACGUGAAUUCGUUAAUGACUUUUGUGAGGCAUUCGCUUCACUUUACCAAUAAGUCUUGAUUUGUAACCAGAGUCUCCUGGAGGGAGAGCAUGAUAGUUGUAUAUAGAUCUAUAUUGGGAUUGACAAACCCACACCUAAGCUGCUUGCAACAGCUAGACCGGCAGGUCUGAGGUGACAAAUGUCAUAACAGUUCCGACGCCUGAAGAACAUCGUUUCAGGCCAACUAGGUCAUAGCAUGGUUAUAAUAGCUCACAUUAAGUAUUAACAAACAUAGAAUUUACAGGGAAUUCAUGUAAAUCAAACGAGUUUAUGUAGAUUUAAACUUGCAUUAUUUUUUCAUAAGUAUAAUAAAUUACUUGUACACUUCGGUCUUUGGGUUUUAAGACUACUUUCAUAUAUUAAGGAAAAUAUUGGAUUUUUCUAGAACAAACACUACUUUUACAUGAAAAAGCUUUUCAUAAACUGCCUACAAAUGCUUAUGAACUCACCAACCUUUGUGUUGACACUUUUUCAAACAACUUGUAUUCUCAGGAAAUCACUAAACAGGUAACCAAGUGCUUUUAAGGAUGGGACAUUAAGGCGUCAAACAUUUCACAUUUUGUCAACGUAUUGUAAUUGAUUUGGAAACAUGUAAUUCAUACAAUGAUAUAACUCUUUCUAUUAUAUAUAUGUUGGUUGUGUUUGCUUAAAUCACUAUUGCAAUUGUUGUUAUGAUGCUAUACAUGAAGUCCUCCACCUCCGGACGUUUCCGCCAUCCUUGGUUUGGGGGUGUGACAGAUUGGUAUCAGAGCACGGUUUAUACUGAAUUAAGUAUAUCAAACCACAUAAGAUAUACAAACUAUAAACACAUUUGGGACGAAAAGUCUCUGAUUUUAGAACAUUUUAAUGGGAUAUACUUUUAGAAAAUAAAUAGUUUUCUUGUUUAAAGUAUACAUGCAUGCUCGCGUAGUGUCAUAACUAGGUGAACAUAAAGUAAAAGAAGAGGAGUUGUACACCAUGAGUAUGACUUGGUGUAUGUGAAUCAAGUCUGGGAGCGAUAUAGCCUGAUCAACUAUAUAUGUCCGAGAAGUGACUUACAUAUACCAGGGGAUAGUCAUAGUGGGCAACGAAUCUAAUAACCUAACAUCACCCUCCAAAGAACGCUCUAAGAACCAAAUCUAAACACUUAAAGUACUAUAGGAGUAUUUGUAUGAUUGCUAUAGCACGAUAUUAUUAUCAACCGUUGCAUGCUACUUACACCCCUAUUCUCACACAAACGACAUGGCAGGGUUUCACCUACCAGGAGACCCAUACUUUCCCAAUCAGGGAAAUGUCGGAUGGAUUGAAGAAGAGCCCGAAGAACCAAUUGAAGAGGAUCCCGAAGAGGAACCCGAAGAUGAAGAAGAGGAGGAAGAUGAAGAAGAAAAAGAAGAAGACGUCGAGAUAGACAUGGAUGAAGACGAAAGUGAACAAGAACCAGAAGUCUUCAACCCUCCUUACAUCGCGAGGGUGCCUGCAAACCACUUUGGGUACAACGGGCCUGAGCCCCAUUGGGCAACAACGAUUGAGAGGUGGAGCCGACAACAACGCCAGUGGUCACCAUAUGGCGACCAACAUGGUUACUACGACCUCAGCCACGGGGGACUGGCUGAUAGAGCCCUCCCAGUCAUGACUCGACAGAUAGCGAUAAUGGAUGAUCGCGGUAGGACGACGACCGAUCAGGUACGGGAGCUAAGUGCCAUCAUAGAGUCUACCACUGCUCGCACCAAAGACCUGGAACGAGACUCCCACUACAGAGACCAACUCAUUCAUGACCUUCUCGCUGCUCGAGCAGAAGCAAGGGAGUAUCGGGAAAGAUACAUGGCGCUUGAGGAGAGAAUGGUUGCAGCCGAACGGAUAUUGGCAGAACUACAAGGCGCAUCGACAACAUCCCAAGCUCCACCAGGGAAGCAUCGUCGUGAGUAGGACUCGCUACUACUCACACACCUUCGUAGUAUAGGUUUUCGAGCAUGCGUUGGUGCUACUCUUUUGUAUGUAGGUUGACCCUGCGACUAAGUGAUUACAUUAUUCAAAAAGGAUUUUGUGCUGUCAAAACUAUCUUUUGCAUUGAUGUAAUGUAGACCCUUGUGAGAUCAAAUUUUCUCAAAACAAUAUGUACUAAAAAGUUAUCAAUGAAUUUGGCAUGCAUUUUACUUCAUUGGAUGUUGACAUGAGAUUUUACUAUGUGGUAUUACAAACAUUUUACAACUGAUAACUCUAAGGUUUUAAGUGUACCUCGUUGUUAUGUGUAAUUAAAACAGUAAUCGACCUAGAAAUGGUGAGUCCGCCUUAGGACCUGUUCCUUGUUUGGUUAUGGACUUAGGGCAGACUCAUUAGUAUCAACAACUUAUUAAAAUUUUAAUUACACAUAACUGGGGCACAUCGAGCGAAUCUGAGGAGUGAGUCAGACACGAAACCAAGCACAUGACUCUAUUUGGGUCAACACUAUUUAAUUCAUAAGCUUAACCGCAUAAACUUUUUUAUGAAUUACCCGCUAAUGUAAUAAACUCGAGAUAUAAUACAAAUGAGAUAAAACAGGUAACACUCACCUCGUUAUUACUAUUGAAGUCUUAGCGACUUGUCAUUUUAAAAUUAUGACAGAACUAUGCCACCAAAGAAAAGACCAAGACCUUCCGGUAGCGCAGAAACACCUCCUCCGCCGCCACCACCACAAUUUGACCCAACAAUGUUCCAGGCUGCAGUAACAACAACUGUGGCGGCAGCUAUGUCACAAACCAACCCUAAUGGCAAUGUUGGAUCCGGAUCUGGUGCUACACCCUCUAACCAGGGUUACAGUUCGGGGCGCAAAAAGGAAUGCACCUACAAGGACUUCACAAAUGGCAAACCCGAUACCUUCAAUGGGAGCGGGGACAUCAUCACACUGAUGCAAUGGUUCGAAAGGACUGAAGCAGUCUUCAAAAUCUGUGCUUGUCCCAAAGCGAGCAAGGUCAAGUUCGCGGCAUUCACUUUCACCGGUAGGGCUCUCACUUGGUGGAAUGGCCGAGUUAAAUCACUUACUCUCGCAGUGGCUAACUCCAUAAGCUAGGAAGAUUUGAAAGCGUUGAUGCUAAAGGAGUAUUGCCCGAGGGGCGAGAUACAAAAACUCAAAGAAGAACUCUGGAACCUCAGAAUGUCGGGCACAAAUCUUGAAACUUACACUGCCCGGUUCAAUGACCUAGCACUCCUCUGUCCAACAAUGGUCACUCCAGAGGGGAAAAAGGUGGAACGAUACCUCUGGGGACUAUCAUCCCAGAUUCAAGAUAGUGUACUGGCCUCGAAACCUACUACCUUUGAGAGUGCGAAGGAAUUGGCACAGCAACAUAUCGAUCACAGGGCCAGCCGUGGUACCGUGAUCACCACCACCGACCAAGCAAAAGGAGGAAACAACAAGAGGAAGUUCUGGAACCAUAAAAAGAAGCAAUCGGCACUGGACCCCGCCAAGAAGCAACAGACUGUUGUUGUCUAUGCUGCCACUACUGCUACCACUCUAGCACCACCGAAGCAAUAUGUUGGAAAUCUCCCUAAGUGCAACAAGUGCAACUACCACCACAAUGGUGCUUGUCGGGAAAUGCACUGCAAAAAUUGCGACAAGAAAGGGCAUACCGUUCGUUUCUGUAAAGCGCCAGCACAACCGAACAACCAAGUUUUCAAUGCGGGGGAAGCCAAACCUGCUAUGGAUGUGGUGAAGCAGGACACUUCAGGAGAAAAUACCCCAAAUCACAAGCUCCUAAUGUUAGUGGUGUAGGGAGGGUCCUGGGAAUAGGACACAGGGAAGCAGUCAAGGAUCCUAAAGUGGUUACUGGUACGUUCCUCCUCAAUAACUCUUAUGCAUGUGUACUUUUCGAUUGUGGGGCAGAAAGGAGUCUUGUGAGCCACCAAUUCAAACAUUUACUUAAACAAAAUCCCAGUCAUUAAAAGAUUCAUACGUCGUAGAAAUGGCAAACAGAAAGGUUGAGCGCGCUAAUGAUAUUUACAUAGGGUGUACCCUCACUCUAGACAACCAUUCGUUCAAAAUCGAUCUAAUGCCAGUCACAAUAAAAAGUUUCGACAUCAUCAUUGGUAUGAAUUGGUUAAGUUCUAAUCAUGCCGACAUUUUAUGUUACAAAAGGGCCGUCCGCCUUAAUCUGCCAAAUGAUGAAACUCUUCUCGUCUAUGGCGAUAAACCCAAUACAAACCUACAAAUCAUUUCUUGCGUCAGGGCUCAAAACUAUCUCCGAAAGGAAUACCAUGCCUUCUUAGCCCACGUCGUAGAUAAGAAUCAAGGGGUGAAGUACAUCUAAGACAUUCCGGAAGUGUGCAACUUCCCCGACCUAUUCCCAGAAGAUCUAACAGGUGUACCGCUCGCACGACAAGUCGAAUUCCGAACCGACUUGGUUCCCGAUGCUACCCCCUUAGCCAAAGCACCAUAUCGCCUCGCACUGGCAGAAAUGCAAGCGUUGUCUAGUCAAAUGAGCGAACUAUUAAGCAAGGGAUUCAUCAGACCAAGCUUUUCGCCCUGGGGAUCACCAGUCCUAUUUGUGAAAAAGAAGGAUGGAUCCUUUAGCAUGUGCAUUGACUAUCGGGAGCUAAACAAACUUACCAUCAAGAAUCGAUAUCCCCUACCCCGAAUCAACGACCUCUUCGACCAACUUCAGGGAGCAAGCUAUUUUUCAAAAAUCGACAUGAGGUCGAGUUACCAUCAACUGCGAGUUUAAGAAGAAGAUAUCCCCAAGACGACAUUCAGAACUCACUAUGGACACUACGACUUUGUAGUGAUGCCAUUCGGAUUAACAAACGCGCCUGCGGUGUUCAUGGAUCUGAUGAACCAAGUGUGUCGACCCUUCCUAGACAAAUUUGUGAUCGUGUUCAUCGAUGAUAUUUUGGUCUAUUCGAGAAGCGAAGAAGAGCACAACCAACAUCUGGGACUAGUAUUGGAGACUUUAAGAGCCGAGAAGCUUUAUGCUAAGUUUUCAAAGUGCGAAUUUUGGCUCAUAGAAGUGGGAUUCCAUGGCCACAUAAUUAGCUAGAAAGGGAUACAUGUGGAUCCCUCAAAGAUCAAAUCGAUCGAAAGCUGGUUAGCACCUACAACACCGACAGAAAUCCGACAAUUCUUAGGACACGCUGGAUACUACCGAAGAUUCAUCCAAAACUUCUCCAAGAUCGCUAAACCACUCACCACCUUGACUCAAAAAGGUGUGAUGUUUAAGUGGGCAGAUAAACAAGAAGCCGCCUUCCAAACGUUAAAACAAGCCCUAUGUAGCGCAUCGGUCUUGUCUCUUCCAGAAGGAACAGAUGACUUGGUACUAUAUUGCGAUGCUUCAAAUCAAGGCCUCAGAUGCGUGCUCAUGCAGAGAGGGAAGGUCAUUGCUUACGAGUCAAGACAACUUAAGACACACGAAGUUAACUAGACUACCCACGAACUUGAACUGGGAGCAGUAGUGUUCGCCCUAAAGAUCUGGAGGCACUACCUCUACAGCACAAAGUGCACUAUCUUCACCGAUCACAAAAGUCUUCAGCAUAUCCUCAAUCAAAAAGAGCUCAACAUGCGGCAAAGAAGAAGGGUAGAGCUGCUAAACGAACACGAGUGUGAAAUUCGCUACCACCCGGCAAGGCCAAUGUAGUGGCUGGUGCCCUAAGCAGGAAGGAAUAUUCGGGCCGCCAAGUAAAAUCCUUAACCAUGACCAUCCAUUCCCACCUGGCCACGAAAAUCAAGGAAGCCCAAGUAGAAGCCUUGAAACCAGAAAAUGUGGCAAGCAAAGCAUUAAGAGGGAUGGAUAAAAACUUAGAAGUCAAGGAUGAUGGAACACGUUAUCUCAUGAAUCGGAUCUGGACACCAAAGUUUGGUGGGUUCCGAGACGUUAUCAUGAAUGAAGCACACUAGACUCGAUAUUCCAUCCAUCUAGGUGCGCAUAAAAUGUAUCUAGACCUCAAGAAGUCAUACUGGUGGCCGAACAUGAAAGCCAAGAUUGCUACUUAUGUGGGCAAGUGUCUGACUUGCGCCAAGGUCAUGGUGGAAUACCAGAAACCCUCAGGACAACUACAACAGCCUGAUAUACCUGAGUGGAAGUGGGAACGGAUAACCAUGGACUUCAUAACCAAGCUGCCUAAGACACCAGGCGGGCUUGAUACCAUAUGGGUGAUGGUAGACAGAUUGACCAAGUCUGCUCACUUCCUGCCGAUAAAGGAAACCGACAAAAUGGAGAAGUUAACCAGGAUGUACAUCAAGGAGAUUAUACGACUGCAUGGAGUGCCAAUAUCCAUUAUCUCUAACAGGGAUAGUAGAUUCACUUCACGAUUUUGGCAGUCCUUACAAAAAUCUCUAGGGACUAGGCUUGACAUGAGUACGACCUACCAUCCACAAACCGACGGACAGAGCGAGCGAACCAUACAAACAUUGGAGGACAUGUUGAGAGCCUGUGUGAUAGAAUUUGGUAAGGCAUGGGAUACCCAUUUACCGCUUAUCGAAUUCUCUUACAAUAAUAGCUAUCACACUAGCAUCAAAGUUGCCCCAUUCGAAGCUCUUUAUGAAUGCAAGUGCCGAUCACCCCUGUGUUGGGCAGAAGUAGGGGACACUCAUCUAGCUAGGGGGCAAGUCCCUAAUAGCACCCUCACUAGCCCUGAAAUCAUAAGGGAGACCACGGAGAAGAUAUUCCAAAUUCGAGAAAGACUGAAGGCAUCUCGCGAUCGACAAAAGAGCUACGCAGACAAACGACGCAAACCCUUGGAAUUCCAGGUCGGCGACCGGGUACUACUAAAAGUUUCCCUUUGGAAGGGAAUGAUACGUUUUGGCAAACGCGGGAAACUAAAUGCAAGGUACAUCGGUCCAUUCGAAAUCCUUGCCAGGAUCGGGCCACUAGCAUACAAACUUCGGUUACCUCAAGAACUUGAUAAAGUACAUCCUAGAUUUCAUGUAUCAAACCUAAAGAAGUGUCUGUAUGACGAAACACUCAUAAUACCACUCGACGAAAUCGAAGUUAACGAAAAUCACCACUUCGUGGAGGAACCAGUCGAAAUCAUGGAUCGGGAGAUCAAAAGAACGAAACAAAGUCGUAUUCCCAUUGUGAAUGCAAAACGAGGACCAGAGUUCACCUGGGAACACGAGGGUCAAAUGAAACAAAAAUACCCGCAUAUUUUCCCAAACUCUUGAAGUCCCAGCCUAAAGGUAAAUUUCAGGACGAAAUUCCCUCUAACGGGGGGAUGAUGUGACAAUAGUCAAUUUCGGGUCAAGUCAAAGUCAACGAGUCAAACCGGAUGACUCAGUUAACCCUUGUAUAUUAGGGUUUACGUUAUGUAAUUACUGUACAACUCGCUAUUUUAAUGAGAAAAUAUCAAUUGGAAAAUUCGUGUGUUUGAAUUUCCUUAGCCUUGAUAAUGCUAAACAAUGAACCAAAGCGAUAAAACACUAUUUCACACUCAUCGGGAGUGUGUAGGGCACUAAAACAUGGCUUCAUGGGGUUUACGGAUCCUGCGUUGCGAAGCCAGAUACUCAAAAAGGUCAUAAAUGGAACCUCUCUUAAAUAUCUUUCAAUAUAUAUAUCUUUAUAUUAGAAAUCCCUCCAAGAAUAUGGAAUUUCUCCCAAAUCUCUGUCAAAACUUCCCGUAACUUUUCAUAAUCAUUCGGGUCAUCCCGACCCUUAACUGGGUCAAAAAUCUCUUAAAAUGGGGUUAGAACAGGUAAAAUACCCAAAAAGACCCGAAACCCCCUUUAGAGGGCCGAACCCUCUUGGACCGAAAGCAUCUAGGAAGCGAAACCACUGCUGAGGACCGAACCGAGGGCACCUUUGGGACGAACCUCGCAUGAGGAACCGAAGCCACCUUCGGGUCGAACCCUCCUACCUUCGCCUUCGGUCUAUUUCGCCCCAUUUCGCCUCUAGCCAUUUUGCUUCAUUUCGCCUUCAAGCCCAGCAGCCUUAGGACCGAACCUCAGCCCAGAACCGAGAGGUCUCGUCGAAAGCGAAGUUUUUCCCGGUUUUCGACCACGACUUCAUUUUGGCUUCGUUUUUCAUCGUUUUAACGCGGGAUUUUCACCCAAAACUUUAUUUUAUCAAUUAAAGGCCCAUAAUUCCCUAAUUCCCACGUUUUUGGUGCAAAUCUUAUCCAAGAACUUAGUGGGUGUAGUACAAAGAGUUGAGUGUUGACUUUGCUUUACCUUAUGACACAAGCAACCACCCCCACACCCACUCUAUGACCAGCCACACCUCCCCACCUUACCUAGGUCACUUCAAUGUCCUUUCUACUCAAUCUUCAGCCUCUCCCACAUCCUUAGAGAUGGAACAUCCAACCUCUCUCCUCACUUCACUCAGUUUCUCUCAUUUUACCAAGGAUCAAACUCAACUUUUCUCUCAACCUUUCUCCCUCAAUUUCG
rnacentral:lncRNA from 1 species